GAGGGGUAACAUAGUUUGCUUGCAAACUGAUGACGACCGGCGCACGGGUGCGUAACGCGUAUAGAACCUACCUUAUAUUGGGGGAUAGCCCAGAGAAAUUUGGAUUAAUACCCCAUAGUAUUGGGAUGUGGCAUCACAACCUAAUUAAAGAUUUAUCGAUAUAAGAUGGCUAUGCGUUCUAUUAGCUAGUUGGUAUGGUAACGGCAUACCAAGGCUACGAUAGAUAGGGGUCCUGAGAGGGAGAUCCCCCACACUGGUACUGAGACACGGACCAGACUCCUACGGGAGGCAGCAGUGAGGAAUAUUGGACAAUGGAGGCAACUCUGAUCCAGCCAUGCCGCGUGCAGGAAGACUGCCCUAUGGGUUGUAAACUGCUUUUAUAGAGGAAGAAACCGCUCUACGUGUAGAGCUCUGACGGUACUCUACGAAUAAGGAUCGGCUAACUCCGUGCCAGCAGCCGCGGUAAUACGGAGGAUCCAAGCGUUAUCCGGAAUCAUUGGGUUUAAAGGGUCCGUAGGCGGAUUUGUAAGUCAGUGGUGAAAGUUUGCGGCUCAACCGUAAAAUUGCCAUUGAUACUGCAAGUCUUGAAUUAUUGUGAAGUGGUUAGAAUAUGUAGUGUAGCGGUGAAAUGCAUAGAUAUUACAUAGAAUACCGAUUGCGAAGGCAGAUCACUAACAAUAUAUUGACGCUAAGGGACGAAAGCGUGGGUAGC
rnacentral:rRNA from 1 species